UUUGAGAACCCUAUCCUAAAAUCCACUGUCGCAUAUCAUCUCUUUGCAACAUAUCAGACAUACACACACAUAAAACCCCCCAUCAUCUUCACCUCUCUCGCAAAUCCGGUCAUCGGAGUGAGCUCCGACUGAAAUUCCGGCGGUCACAACUGAAUCUCUGGCGAAAUUGACAUCCACAACCAGUUACCUUUCCCCCUCCGUCUCUUCUCCGGCUCCGGCGACCGGAGUGACGCCGGUUAACCGGUCGACACUCACACCCGGCUCCCCUUCUUCUCCGGCGCCGAGAAACCGGACGGCAAACAUCAACCCACCCCCCCUUCUUCUUUCUCAACUGACGGAUCGGAGCACCACCACCACAAGUCCGGUGGUGGUGCGGCGGCUACACAUAGAGAGACCGAGAGAGAGAGAAAGAACCGGCGGUCGGAGUCUCGGACCGCCGGUCGGUUCAAUUAUCCGACGGUCUUUGUUUCUGACCGACGGUAUGAUGCGAUGAUAAAGAUGAGACGUUGAAGAUAAUCGGAGAAACCGAUCUUAUCAGUGAAGUUCGCCGGCGACGGCAGUGGAGUGUUCUCCGCUGAAAUUUGACGCUUGUGUUUGGUUCAGGUCAUCCUUGGUACGGAUCAAGAGGUUCAGGUUUCAUAUUCGACACAGUUCGGGUCAACAGUAACUGGUCAACGAGCAUUCGGGUUAUGGUUUGGUUCGGGUCUCGGUCAGUUAGGGUGCGGUUCAGGUCAGAUUCAGAAUUUCGUGGCUCGGGUUGACUCGGUCAACCCUGGUCAACACAGCGAGUUGACUCAGUCAACUCAACCGGUCAACUCAGCCAACUUUUCGGUUCGGAUGUGUAUCUUGAAAUAAUGAUAUACGGUUGACGAUUUUGUUGGUUUGGUUGCUGUUUGGGCUUUUGAUCUGAAUAAUCCAUAAAGAUAUUCAAUUGACAAGCUGGAUGGAUGUAGGCGACGUUAAUGCGGGGACAUUGAAUAAGUCAAAUCUUCUGGGAAAGAAGUUUUCGUUCAUUUAUAACAUGUGUUAGUGGUUCAUGCUGUAACAGAUCCAUAAACAAGUUUUCAAGCUGUAACAAGUUUUCGUUCGUUUAUAAAAUGUGUUAGUGGUUCAUGCUGUAAUAGAUCCAUAAAGAAGUUU
rnacentral:lncRNA from 1 species